GUUCUGAUAUAUGGUCACACAGAGGAAGACUGUGUGUGCAUGGGUGUAUGUCUUGAGGUAAAUAUGUUAAAAAUGGAACAAAGCCAGUAUCUGCAAGUGAAGAUCACAUAUGAUUUUUAUUUUCCAUUUAUUAUUUUCCAUUAUCUCUAAGAUUUUAAAACUUAAAAUAUGAUGCUAAUGAUGGGGUAAGGGGAAUGUGCAGAUGGUGGACCUGAAAGUAAUUGAGCGGUCCCAGAUGCAGCCCUGGAUGCAGGCUACUCAGAACUAGGAGGUGGGAGCCGGGGAGCAGUGCAGAAAUCCAGUAUGAGCAGGUAUGAAGUCCAGUAGCAGCAGGGCUGUGCACCCUCAGGCAGAGCAGAAGGGGUGGUGCUGGGAGGGGAGGCAGGACUGGAAGGUGAUGUAGCAGCCAAGUUCCAAAGAUUGUGACCACAUUUAGUGCCAGAACAACAGCAGCUGUGCACGGUAAACAACCUAGAAUACUUAGGAAGCACAAAGAAUAAGAGGAUGAGACCAGAUGAGAUGAGAGAUGGAGAAAGUGAGACUAUCGCAAAGAUAGGAGAUUAGUCAUUUGAGGUGGGGGACACACUGCCCGCAGCUCAGAAGACAAGGCAAGGGACAACUGCAGCCAGAGAAAAUGUAGCGCCCUCUGGGAGUGACUCUGUGGAUGUCUCAGCCACAUCACGACUUUGUGAUAUCACUGGACAGUAACAGUCACUUCCCUCCCCACCAGGGCACCAGGCCCUGUGCACUGGGGAAGGAUGCAGCCAUCAGCUCCAGGGAGGAAGGACCGGCCAUCAGGACACCCGAGACAUGUGGCCAGAUCAAACAGGACCUGUCCCUCAUGGCUCAAUUUCUGCUGGGGCCUAAAGACUUUUAGGGAAGGAACUGGAACUCCGAGAGAAGAAACAGGCUGCAGGACUGCCCAGGGGCACAGGACACUUGGGCACGUGACGGUGAGACCCACCCUCCAUUUCCAGAUGAGGACGCAGGGUGCCAAGAGCUCACGGGACACGGGUUUUCCUCUGAGUCUUCUCAAGCCCAGGGUGCACCUCAGGCUGCACCACCUACACAGGGGACCGGCAAACUCUGUUCCAAGUUUGCAGGUGACUGGGUCUCUGUGGCAACUACUCAGUUGGCAGCUGGGGUACAAAAGCCCAAGGACUCUAUGGAAACGAUUGGGUCGGCUGUUUUCCAACUUACACUGAAAUUUGAAUUAGUUUUACGUUUCAUGAAAUAUUCUUUUGGUGUUUUCUUUCCACCCAUUUAAAAAUGUAAAAAUCAUUCUUGGCCUAUGGGCUGUACGAAAACAGGAGGAAGGGCAGAUGCGCUCCAUUGGCCGGAACUUGCCAACCUCUGCUCUCAGUCUCAGCCCCCCGAGACACAGGAACCUUCUGCCUUUACACCACCUGCUGCACUCAACUCCGCAGACAUGUCACUGCAGUGUCCUUGGUUCAUCAGGGUCCACACCCCACUGGACACAGACACUGCACACAACCCCAAGGAAAGAAGCUCCAGAAUCAGAGGCUGAGCCCUCAGGAGGCAGCAGCAACUGUUCUCCACAGAGUAAAACCCUGCUGGGGGCUGGGGACUGUGGUCAGUUUGGGGAGGGAAAAGUUUAGGGAGGGGAAUGUCCCAGAGGACAAUGAGGUGAGAAUCAGAAUCGGGGCUGCAUCCCCAGCACAGCAAUGGUCAGAAAGGUGCUUUUGGUUUUUUUGGUUUUUUUUUUUUUUUUUUUUUUUUUUUUUUUUC
ensembl:lincRNA